rnacentral:rRNA from 1 species
AUUGAGAUAUAAAAGGUUAUUGAGGUGUACAUGUUUGCUGGCCUUGUUUAACAACAAGGCAUGUGCACGGUUCACUGAUUGACUGAUUCUAUUAUCUAUCCACCUGUGCACUUUAUGUAGAAGUUUAUGUUGGGCCAACUCUUGUUAGUUGUUGGUUUGAUGUGCUUCUAUGUCUUUACAAACUAUUUUGAAGUAUGUCCAGAAUGUUGUUGUAUUGGGACUUUAUUGACCCUUUAAACUUUUAUACAACUUUCAGCAAUGGAUCUCUUGGCUCUCCCAUCGAUGAAGAACGCAGCGAAAUGCGAUAAGUAAUGUGAAUUGCAGAAUUCAGUGAAUCAUCGAAUCUUUGAACGCAUCUUGCACCCUCUGGUAUUCCGGAGGGUAUGCCUGUUUGAGUGUCAUUAAAUUCUCAAUUUCAAUAACUUGUUUAUUGAAACUUGGAUGUGGAGGCUUGUUGGUAUCUCGGAUGUCAGCUCCUCUUAAAUGCAUUAGUGGAAAAACCUCCUCCUGUUGGGUUGGUCUACCUUGAUGUGAUAAUUAUCUACAUUUUGGUCGUUCAACUGUUCAGAACAAUUAUGUUCUGGUUGGGAUAUUGCAUUUGUGCUUUAUCUGUUGUAGGGGGGGGGUAGUUGUCUGCUUUCUAACUGUCUUUUUGUACAUUUUAUUGAUAACU